GUCAGAAUUGAGUAUAGGGGCGAAAGACCAAUCGAACCAUCUAGUAGCUGGUUCCCUCCGAAGUUUCCCUCAGGAUAGCUGGUGCAUUAUAAUAUUAUGUUAAAUAAUCUUAUCUGGUAAAGCGAAUGAUUAGAGGCCUUAGGGUCGAAACGACCUUAACCUAUUCUCAAACUUUAAAUGGGUAAGAACCUCACCUUUCUUGAUAUGAAGGUUGAGGUUAUGAUAUAAUGUGCCCAGUGGGCCAAUUUUGGUAAGCAGAACUGGCGCUGUGGGAUGAACCAAACGUAAUGUUACGGUGCCUAAAUUAACAACUCAUGCAGAUACCAUGAAAGGCGUUGGUUGCUUAAAACAGCAGGACGGUGGACAUGGAAGUCGUAAUCCGCUAAGGAGUGUGUAACAACUCACCUGCCGAAGCAACUAGCCCUUAAAAUGGAUGGCGCUUAAGUUGUAUACCUAUACAUUACCGCUAAAGUAGAUGAUUUAUAAUACAAUUUCGAUUGAAUUAUAAAUUUUGAAACUUUAGUGAGUAGGAGGGUACAAUGGUGUGCUUAGAAGUGUUUGGCGUAAGCCUGCAUGGAGCCGCUAUUGGUACAGAUCUUGGUGGUAGUAGCAAAUAAUCGAAUGAGACCUUGGAGGACUGAAGUGGAGAAGGGUUUCGUGUGAACAGUGGUUGAUCACGAGUUAGUCGGUCCUAAGUUCAAGGCGAAAGCCGAAAAUUUUCAAGUUUUAAUGC
rnacentral:rRNA from 3 species